UACGUAGGGUGCAGGCGUUAAUCGGAAUUACUGGGCGUAAAGCGUGCGCAGGCGGUUUGCUAAGACAGGUGUGAAAUCCCCGGGCUUAACCUGGGAACUGCGCUUGUAACUGGCAAGCUGGAGUGUGGCAGAGGGGGGUGGAAUUCCACGUGUAGCAGUGAAAUGCGUAGAGAUGUGGAGGAACACCGAUGGCGAAGGCAGCCCCCUGGGCUAACACUGACGCUCAUGCACGAAAGCGCGGGGAGCAAACAGG
rnacentral:rRNA from 1 species